rnacentral:rRNA from 1 species
UACAGAGGUCUCAAGCGUUGUUCGGAUUCAUUGGGCGUAAAGGGUGCGUAGGCGGCGCGGUAAGUCGGGUGUGAAAUCUCGGAGCUUAACUCCGAAACUGCAUUCGAUACUGCCGUGAUUGAGGACUGGAGAGGAGACUGGAAUUCAUGGUGUAGCAGUGAAAUGCGUAGAGAUCAUGAGGAAGACCAGUGGCGAAGGCGGGUCUCUGGACAGUUCCUGACACUGAGGCACGAAGGCCAGGGGAGCAAACGGG